GUAUAAAAGUGGCUUUGUUGUUGGACCUGCACAUUUUUACAAGACAAUAAGCCUCUUACCACUGCCCAAGAGGGUUGUUUUUCUGUUUUCUGAGGCUUCUGGUGGUGGUGGCUUACAUGCUUAGUUACUGUUGGUUUAAGAGGUUUUGGUUUGCUCAUUGUUGAAAAAGUUUGCUUCUUUUUCUGCUUGAGACUUCAGCCUAACAAAUAAUGGCUAAUGCCUUAAAUUGCAGCAGAUUGGGACUUGGGAUUUGAAGCAUUGUUUUUGUUUUGUCUAGUGUUAGAAUAUUUUUUCACAAGUGUUGGGUCUAUGAAGCUUUGGAGGAAUCUAUAGUUAUUGUUUCUUGGGAGAUAUUAGAGAUGUAUGAUCUAUCAUGAUGUGGUAUCUAGCUAUUGGUUUUUUUCUUGAUUCAAGAGUUUUUUUUUUUUCUUUGAAUUAAUGGGAAAGUAAAGAGAUGUGGCCUACUACUGGUCCCCUUCUUUUCAUGAUUUGGCUGUCCUAUUUGUAAUUAAGAAGUUGUUAAAUAUCAUACUCACCAUCUUUUUUUGCCUCAA